rnacentral:rRNA from 1 species
CACCCAGUCGCUGACCCUACCGUGGUCGCCUGCCUCCUUGCGGUUAGCGAAACGCCUUCGGGUAAAACCAACUCCCAUGGUGUGACGGGCGGUGUGUACAAGGCCCGGGAACGUAUUCACCGCAGCGUGCUGAUCUGCGAUUACUACCGAUUCCNACUUCAUGCACUCGANUUGCANAGUGCAAUCCGAACUGANACGGCUUUUCGAGAUUUGCUCAGGGUCNCCCCCUUGCAUCCCGUUGUCACCGCCAUUGUAGCACGUGUGUAGCCCAGCCUGUAAGGGCCAUGAGGACUUGACGUCAUCCCCACCUUCCUCCGGCUUAUCACCGGCAGUCCCCCUANAGUGCCCAACUUAAUGAUGGCAACUAAGGGCGANGGUUGCGCUCGUUGCGGGAC